UCAUCCAAUAUGCCUGUCUGACACUGCACACUGUCAGAAUACACAGGCAGCCUUAAAAUGUUAUGCAGAAGCAUGACUUUACAGCUAUUCUAUUCUAUCAUUUUUAAAUGUAAGUAAUGAAACGGAACAAGAAAUUUGAUUGGAUUAGAUAUAGGAAUACUUUUGGUCCUUCGGUAAAACAUAUAUCUGAAAAUAUAAUGGCAAUAAAAUACUAAGCUUGGAUUAAAUGUCCAUCAGGUUAAAAUAUUCAUUUUUCUUUUUUCAUUAGAAAAUUAAAACAAACAGAAUCAAACAUUGUUAUUUUUGUUAUUCUUCUAUGAUUAUAAUCUUUAUAAUUUAAUAUUUAAUUACAAACAUAUUAAUUAUUUCCAAUAGAUAUUCUGUGAAUUUAUAUUUAUGUACAUUUUUAUGCUUUUUAUGUUUCAUUUGUGCAUUUUCCAAAUAAGAUACAAGAAGAAGAAUUUAGUUGUGAAUAUUAAUUUAGAUGAAAAUGAUUUAAGUAUAUCAAAAGAACAUUAAUAUCAAUGUAUCAUGUAACAAGAUGAACGAGAUAAAAUAAAUCAAAUGAAUUUUAAUUAAUAAAUAAUGAAGAAAAACUUUU